rnacentral:siRNA from 1 species
CCGGCCAUGAGAUCUAUAUUC